CGGCACUUACCGAGCGCUGUGCACAACAAGCUCCCUCCGCAACAGAUGAUAAGACCCGCAAAAGCGCUGCCUUUCCUAGCGACACGAUGCCAUAACGCACAUCCAGCCCGGAGUCCUCGGCUCACAACUUAAUCGGCCUGUUGUAGGUUAGUUUCUUCCUGGAAGCCUGAAACUGAGAGGCGGACAAUGCAUUGCUCAUUGAUUUGGGUAUUGAAGUGCCGAAAUGACGCGGAUUCCCAGCACCGGAGCGCUGCCCUCUUAAAGGGGAACUCAACCCAGGAAAUUGCCGAUCAUGUUUCAGGCGUAUAUUGAGGAAAUGAGGAACUGGACGAGGAACCCGGAUAAAAUGUGUACAAGGAAGAUGACCGUCACAUCAAAUAGAAUCUGCAUUUUAUUCCGCUAGAAUAUGCAGUCAAUUUUGCAUUCAUAUACGCAAUCAAAAAUCUAAAUUAAUGUAAUAUCUAGGUGGGAUUGUUGACCAGUGGUUCAGUAAUGCAUUUCUUUACAGCAAAUGUUUUCCGCAGUGCAUAACUGACGUAACUAAACUUAAAGUGAACUAAUAGUGUUCUCGUUUUUUAAUUGGUUUGAUAUGUUAUUUUUGGGUCUUCCUUUGCGUAUUGUACUAGCAAUGUAUAUAUAUGAGGAGGCAAAGGUGUGACAUAAUUUUUUAAAGCUCUCAUGACGCAACUUUGCCUUUAACUCGGGCAAUGUCUGGUAAUCAUGUUCCUUUUCAGGCAUAAAUAUAAACAUAUGUUAGAAAACCGGAUGCACAUAUAUAAGUACAUACAUAUAUAAUAUAUGUGUCGAUUGCAAUUUUAGAUUAAGUUUAGAUUUUUAGAUAAACAAAAAUAUAUGGGAAAAGGAAUUUAGAAACGGAACAGGCUGAAUGUUUUUCAGCAGUUAUACCUUGAGGCGACGUCUCAAAUUACUAUUUCAGAUAAUUGCUUUGAUCAUGAUGUUACAGUGCAGGAUGAUGCACAUGCAAUAACAGGUACUAUUAGAAUUCAAAUUAUAUAUUUAGCUUUUAUGUCCAUUAA